rnacentral:lncRNA from 1 species
CAAGAGACGUGGAGGAUGGCCGUGGUGAAAAGCACUCAUCGCGGUCACGGGAUAGCAUCGGUCUAGUUGCCAUGCUUCGUGUAAGUCCUGUCAUGGUUAGUAGAAAACAAGAAACAAAUCACAGUAAUAUGUUCCUAUCAACUACUAGGAUGUGGCUACAAGUCGCUCAACUCUCAAGCUAAAAAUCAAGUUCUUACGAGUUCUUACCAUGCAAAACAGGAAGGUGAUGACUAGCGGGGCGUGACCAAGCCCUCCGAAGAUUAAAUGUAUCGAUGCCUCGGUAACAGACCAACCUAGGUGUAGAAUCUGUGGAGCUUGGAGGCUUUUGUGAGUAGCAAGGAAUAGCAAAUAAUCAAAUCAGCAAUGCAAAGUUGAAAAUAUGCUCAAUAAUGCUAGUCCUAGCUGCUGGAGUCGAUAAGAAUGAAUUACAAAAAUAAUCUAAGCCUAGAUACUGAAGAAGGUAGGAAUAGAUAGAUCAAAAGAUGGCACAACAAGUAAAUCCUUGGGAUUUUUUUUUCUUUUUGUGGCCUUCUGUUUGGCUUCUUAUUCUUUUCUUCUUCUUUUUUUUUCUUUUUUUUUAACCCCAGAAACUCACGCAAAAGAAGGACCGGAAAACUGUACGUCGAUCUGUCGAAGAACAGCAAAGGCUGCAGUAAGAAAAAUUCAGAAAAAUAUGGAAAAAUAUGGGUUAGAAGCGUAUCGACACAAGCUUUCCAGCAAGGGCAAGAUCACUCAAAAAGGAUGUGGGACGGUGGAGAAAACUGAGAAACACCGGGCUGCAGCGACGCCGGAAAACGGAUGCAGAAACUUGGAAGCUCCGAAAGUCCACCUUACAAACCGAAUUUGAGGUUCAAAGUGCAGGGCAAACGCCUGGAUAUUUCCUGAUGCACCUCGUCGUGAGUUUUCCAAAAAGUCCAAGAACGUCCAAAUCCGAGUUGGUACGCAAAAGAUAUGUCCGUUUUACUGAACAUGGGUCAAACCCACCCGAAAUUAAAAUUCUACUCGGACUCGGGUCCGAAACUGACUCGAACUCUUUCUCUUUUUUUUCGUUUUUUUUCUUUCUUUCUUUCCUUUUUUUUCUUUCCUUUCUUUUUUUCACAACUUUCCGAACAACUUGAUCUCUGAACAAAAUUCGAUCUAUUAUGAAACACUUUCCAAAAGCACUCUUGAUUGGACUCAGACUCGAACUCGCGGCUGAAAACUAUAACUUGCCGACUCGAUGUAGGACUCGGUGGAAGAUAUGGUGGCGGCGGGAGAUUAUGGCGGUGGUGUGGCAGGAAGUUUGGCGGCGGAAGAUUGAUGAAGGAAACCUGCGUCACACGAAGAACAAGAAAACCAA